GUGGGGAAUUUUGGACAAUGGGCGCAAGCCUGAUCCAGCAAUGCCGCGUGCAGGAAGAAGGCCUUCGGGUUGUAAACUGCUUUUGUACGGAACGAAACGGUCCUGGCUAAUACCCGGGGCUAAUGACGGUACCGUAAGAAUAAGCACCGGCUAACUACGUGCCAGCAGCCGCGGUAAUACGUAGGGUGCGAGCGUUAAUCGGAAUUACUGGGCGUAAAGCGUGCGCAGGCGGUGCUGUAAGACAGGCGUGAAAUCCCCGGGCUCAACCUGGGAAUUGCGCUUGUGACUGCAGUGCUGGAGUGCGGCAGAGGGGGAUGGAAUUCCGCGUGUAGCAGUGAAAUGCGUAGAUAUGCGGAGGAACACCGAUGGCGAAGGCGGGUUCCUGGCCCAUGACUGACGCUGAGGUGCGAAAGCCGGGGGAGCGAACGGGAUUAGAAACCCUUGUAGUCC
rnacentral:rRNA from 1 species